GGUUAAGCGACUAAGCGUACACGGUGGAUGCCCUGGCAGUCAGAGGCGAUGAAGGACGUGCUAAUCUGCGAUAAGCGUCGGUAAGGUGAUAUGAACCGUUAUAACCGGCGAUUUCCGAAUGGGGAAACCCAGUGUGUUUCGACACACUAUCAUUAACUGAAUCCAUAGGUUAAUGAGGCGAACCGGGGGAACUGAAACAUCUAAGUACCCCGAGGAAAAGAAAUCAACCGAGAUUCCCCCAGUAGCGGCGAGCGAACGGGGAGCAGCCCAGAGCCUGAAUCAGUGUGUGUGUUAGUGGAAGCGUCUGGAAAGGCGCGCGAUACAGGGUGACAGCCCCGUACACAAAAAUGCACAUGCUGUGAGCUCGAUGAGUAGGGCGGGACACGUGGUAUCCUGUCUGAAUAUGGGGGGACCAUCCUCCAAGGCUAAAUACUCCUGACUGACCGAUAGUGAACCAGUACCGUGAGGGAAAGGCGAAAAGAACCCCGGCGAGGGGAGUGAAAAAGAACCUGAAACCGUGUACGUACAAGCAGUGGGAGCACGCUUAGGCGUGUGACUGCGUACCUUUUGUAUAAUGGGUCAGCGACUUAUAUUCUGUAGCAAGGUUAACCGAAUAGGGGAGCCGAAGGGAAACCGAGUCUUAACUGGGCGUUAAGUUGCAGGGUAUAGACCCGAAACCCGGUGAUCUAGCCAUGGGCAGGUUGAAGGUUGGGUAACACUAACUGGAGGACCGAACCGACUAAUGUUGAAAAAUUAGCGGAUGACUUGUGGCUGGGGGUGAAAGGCCAAUCAAACCGGGAGAUAGCUGGUUCUCCCCGAAAGCUAUUUAGGUAGCGCCUCGUGAAUUCAUCUCCGGGGGUAGAGCACUGUUUCGGCAAGGGGGUCAUCCCGACUUACCAACCCGAUGCAAACUGCGAAUACCGGAGAAUGUUAUCACGGGAGACACACGGCGGGUGCUAACGUCCGUCGUGAAGAGGGAAACAACCCAGACCGCCAGCUAAGGUCCCAAAGUCAUGGUUAAGUGGGAAACGAUGUGGGAAGGCCCAGACAGCCAGGAUGUUGGCUUAGAAGCAGCCAUCAUUUAAAGAAAGCGUAAUAGCUCACUGGUCGAGUCGGCCUGCGCGGAAGAUGUAACGGGGCUAAACCAUGCACCGAAGCUGCGGCAGCGACGCUGAUGCGUUGUUGGGUAGGGGAGCGUUCUGUAAGCCUGCGAAGGUGUGCUGUGAGGCAUGCUGGAGGUAUCAGAAGUGCGAAUGCUGACAUAAGUAACGAUAAAGCGGGUGAAAAGCCCGCUCGCCGGAAGACCAAGGGUUCCUGUCCAACGUUAAUCGGGGCAGGGUGAGUCGACCCCUAAGGCGAGGCCGAAAGGCGUAGUCGAUGGGAAACAGGUUAAUAUUCCUGUACUUGGUGUUACUGCGAAGGGGGGACGGAGAAGGCUAUGUUGGCCGGGCGACGGUUGUCCCGGUUUAAGCGUGUAGGCUGGUUUUCCAGGCAAAUCCGGAAAAUCAAGGCUGAGGCGUGAUGACGAGGCACUACGGUGCUGAAGCAACAAAUGCCCUGCUUCCAGGAAAAGCCUCUAAGCAUCAGGUAACAUCAAAUCGUACCCCAAACCGACACAGGUGGUCAGGUAGAGAAUACCAAGGCGCUUGAGAGAACUCGGGUGAAGGAACUAGGCAAAAUGGUGCCGUAACUUCGGGAGAAGGCACGCUGAUAUGUAGGUGAAGUCCCUCGCGGAUGGAGCUGAAAUCAGUCGAAGAUACCAGCUGGCUGCAACUGUUUAUUAAAAACACAGCACUGUGCAAACACGAAAGUGGACGUAUACGGUGUGACGCCUGCCCGGUGCCGGAAGGUUAAUUGAUGGGGUCAGCGCAAGCGAAGCUCUUGAUCGAAGCCCCGGUAAACGGCGGCCGUAACUAUAACGGUCCUAAGGUAGCGAAAUUCCUUGUCGGGUAAGUUCCGACCUGCACGAAUGGCGUAAUGAUGGCCAGGCUGUCUCCACCCGAGACUCAGUGAAAUUGAACUCGCUGUGAAGAUGCAGUGUACCCGCGGCAAGACGGAAAGACCCCGUGAACCUUUACUAUAGCUUGACACUGAACAUUGAGCCUUGAUGUGUAGGAUAGGUGGGAGGCUUUGAAGUGUGGACGCCAGUCUGCAUGGAGCCGACCUUGAAAUACCACCCUUUAAUGUUUGAUGUUCUAACGUUGACCCGUAAUCCGGGUUGCGGACAGUGUCUGGUGGGUAGUUUGACUGGGGCGGUCUCCUCCUAAAGAGUAACGGAGGAGCACGAAGGUUGGCUAAUCCUGGUCGGACAUCAGGAGGUUAGUGCAAUGGCAUAAGCCAGCUUGACUGCGAGCGUGACGGCGCGAGCAGGUGCGAAAGCAGGUCAUAGUGAUCCGGUGGUUCUGAAUGGAAGGGCCAUCGCUCAACGGAUAAAAGGUACUCCGGGGAUAACAGGCUGAUACCGCCCAAGAGUUCAUAUCGACGGCGGUGUUUGGCACCUCGAUGUCGGCUCAUCACAUCCUGGGGCUGAAGUAGGUCCCAAGGGUAUGGCUGUUCGCCAUUUAAAGUGGUACGCGAGCUGGGUUUAGAACGUCGUGAGACAGUUCGGUCCCUAUCUGCCGUGGGCGCUGGAGAACUGAGGGGGGCUGCUCCUAGUACGAGAGGACCGGAGUGGACGCAUCACUGGUGUUCGGGUUGUCAUGCCAAUGGCACUGCCCGGUAGCUAAAUGCGGAAGAGAUAAGUGCUGAAAGCAUCUAAGCACGAAACUUGCCCCGAGAUGAGUUCUCCCUGACCCUUUAAGGGUCCUGAAGGAACGUUGAAGACGACGACGUUGAUAGGCCGGGUGUGUAAGCGCAGCGAUGCGUUGAGCUAACCGGUACUAAUGAACCGUGAGGCUUAACCUU
rnacentral:rRNA from 1 species